UUGGUAAAAUGCAAUGAAAUUUCAACGCACAUUUGUGAGCACUCAUCAGCGUCUACUGACAUCAAAGCAUUCUAGUAACAGUAAACUCCUGAAAAAGAGAAUGUGAAAGAUUGAGGAAUGAAAAGUAAAAGCACACACUGAUGGGAGGCAGAGAAAGUUAAUGUUCAAAUCGUUGGUGAUCACAACAGCCAACUAAAGCAGGUCUGCGCUAAAUAUCCAGGGAAUAGCCAUGACUUGUACAUUCUGGACUACUCACAGAAUUUGUACGCCUGAGGACUGGCCAAUACUCCAGGAAGCACACAUUCCAACUUCACCGCAGGAGUAAUAAAACAAGCUGGUUUUAGUAAAAAAAAAUGGUGAAACAAAAAGCAAAGAACUGCGGGUGCAGGAAAUCUGAAUCAAAAACCAAAAUAGCUGGA